AGUGAACGCUGGCGGUAGGCCUAACACAUGCAAGUCGAACGGCAGCACAGUAAGAGCUUGCUCUUACGGGUGGCGAGUGGCGGACGGGUGAGGAAUACAUUGGAAUCUACUUUUUCGUGGGGGAUAACGUAGGGAAACUACGCUAAUACCGCAUACGACCUACGGGUGAAAGCAGGGGAUCUUCGGACCUUGCGCGAUUGAAUGAGCCGAUGUCGGAUUAGCUAGUUGGCGGGGUAAAGGCCCACCAAGGCGACGAUCCGUAGCUGGUCUGAGAGGAUGAUCAGCCACACUGGAACUGAGGCACGGUCCAGACUCCUACGGGAGGCAGCAGUGGGGAAUAUUGGACAAUGGGCGCAAGCCUGAUCCAGCCAUACCGCGUGGGUGAAGAAGGCCUUCGGGUUGUAAAGCCCUUUUGUUGGGAAAGAAAAGCAGCAGGUUAAUACCCCGCUGUUCUGACGGUACCCAAAGAAUAAGCACCGGCUAACUUCGUG
rnacentral:rRNA from 1 species